rnacentral:lncRNA from 1 species
GAGCUAAAGCGAGAGAGGCUAAGAAUAGAGAUAUGGAUUUGGGAGUUAGUGGCAAAUAGAGUUAAACUAUGGGAAUGUAUAUGAUGGCCUGAGAAGAAAUUAUAGGAGAAGUAAGAAGGACUAAGGGCUGAGCCUGGGAGACAGGACAUGGAGGGGAAAGGCAGCUGAGAGGAGCCUUGAAGAAGACUGAAGAGGAAUAAUUGCUACUGAGGAGAAGCAAGGCAGUUCAGUGUGAUGGAUGCCAAAAGAUGGAGAAGUCAAGGAGGUGGCCACCUGCUGGAGAGUGCAUGUCUCCACUGCCUUCCUCAACCUCUGCAUGUGGAGUCUGCACUUGACAAGAUCAAUGGUGUUCCUUGUUCUGAAGAGGAGAAACAGUAAAAAAUUUGCCAAGGACCCAAGAUAGAAGACUGUGGGCCCAGAUCCUAAUGUAAAAGAAGCCUGCCUCAACUUAAUUUUCCUGGACAGCAAGAGCUAUGAAAAUGAACUGGGUGAAUAUUGGUGUUUUCAGCUUGAGGUUCCAAUGAAUUAGGACAAUCAGAAGGAAGAGUUUAAUUUUGGGGUCUAGCAUGAGACCAUUCAGUUCAAACUUUCAUUUCACAGUUAGGAAACUAGACCCAGAGAGGCACAGUGCUUCGGCUUGAUGCUAAUAGACUGAUUUUGGAAGGCAGUUGAGCUGGAAGACACAGAUCUGGGGGCUGUCAGCCAAGGGCUGAGAAGGAUGUGAAUUAAGAAGGUGGGAAGGGAAUUGAUGGUUAAGGCCUGAGUCUUGAGAGAAACCCAUGGCCAGGAGCAGAGGAGUUAAGAUUCAUUCAGAAAUGCUCCUACAGACGUGGGAGAACAAGGAUUGUUCAGUAUAAUGGAAGCCAAAGGAGAGGGUUUUGAGGAGCAAAAGACUAGCCAACAGUAGCAAUUGUGUCAAGGUGAUCAAGGAAUAAGAUGUAAACAAUUGUUGGAUUUAUAAUAUGAUUUUAAAAGUGCAGUUUCAGUAAAGUGGUAAGAAUGGGAGGACAAUCAAAUGGCACGUGGUGUGUGUGUGUGUGUGUGGAGGUUGUGGUGUGUGUGGGGGGGGAUGUAUGUGUGGAGAGUGUGGCAUGAGAUGCAUGUGCAUAUGUAUGUUUAGGAUGAGGUGUGUGUGGAGAGUGAGAUGUGUGUGUGUAGGAUAUGAGGUGUGUGAGCUGUGUGUGUGUGUGUGUGAUGUGUGUGUAGGGUGCAGUGUUGUGGUAUAUGUGUAUGUGUACAUGGUGUGGGGGGUGCAGGGUGUGUGUGUAUGUAGGAUGCGGUGUGUGUGGAGAGUGAGAUGUGUGUGUAGAGUGCAAUGUGUAUGGGGUGUUUGUAGGGUGCGCUGUACAUGUGGGCAGUGUGUGUGUAUUCUGACUGAAUGCUGAGCACUGGUGCUUGAGCUCUCCUGCCCUGCCUGGGAGGUGGUGUGUCUGAGGUGAGGGGAAGGCUGACCCAGCUGAUGGGUCCUGUGAGGCAGAGGUUGAGGAGGGAGCCAGAGAUGAGAACCAACAACAUGCUCCAGGAAGAGGGACAGGCGCAGAAGCAAGGGGACACCAGACUGGAACAGAUGGACUCAUGCAGUUGUUCCUUGAUGGCCUGUUCACAUAUAGCAUUUGCCAUGUCCCACAAAUGCAGAAUUCUGGUGGAACCACAGUGCGUGGAAGUUCCAGGAGACUGAAAGUGGUGCAAGGUUAAGUGUGUUACAUAUGUAAUUGAGUAAUCAGGGGUGCUGACAGCCCGACAGGCCAUGCCUUCCAUUCGAACCAGAGCUUGCUUCACAUAGAAAGAAAGCAAUGGCUUUCUAAGGAAUGUGGACAAGUGAGGAACCCUAUCAUAUCCUUCUUACUCAUUUCUUCCCUGUGUUAACCAACCACUUACGCUGAAAAUGAUGACACAGAAGAAAGGGAAAGACAGGACAACCCAUAGUUCCUUUUCCUUUCAGCCCUUCCUUACUCAUCAGUAAGCUGAAGGUCAAGAGUAUUGAUGGAACAUGCACGUUAUCAAGAAGUAAAAUUAAAACAGUUGAGUUAGUUUUGUGCAGUGUUCCCGCUGCUCUGGUAAGGACAAAAUAUAUACGCAAGUAAGAGCUAGGAAAUAUGAACUGUGUAAUUUCAAUGAUUCCACGUAUGAGUCAAAUGCACUUAUUUUCAUUUACAACUAACACUACACAACAUAAAGAAUAGUAAAAUUCAUACUAAUAAUUAAAUUUUAAAUUUUUCUUUACUUAAAAUGACAUUAAAUAUCAAAUUAAAAACAUCAUGACUAGUAAAAAAAAAUUGUGGAAGAAAGAAAAAGUUUUAUGCUUUGGUGACCCUUAAUGGCCUUAUUUCCCUCUGGUUUUUGAACAAGGAGCUCGAUAUUUUCAUUUUGUACUGGGCCCUGAAAAUUAUGUUACUGGCCCUGGGUGAGAUGGUUGUUUAUAUUUGUAUGACCAGGGUCAAAAAACAGUCUUGGAACCACAGGAGCAGGGAAGAUUCACCAAUAAAUUGAUGAACACAAGUCUUCAUCAUUACCCACACACACUCACUGGCCCCUCAACAUUGGUAACAAUGGCCAUGGGUGGAGAGUUAAGAAGAUGAUAACUCCCAGAAAACUAUGCUUUUUCUGCUGAUAACUCUUCAACAUCUCACCACACCCAAUAUCUCUGCUUUUGUUAACAAACCAUGAACUGCUUCAAGUUGUCAUACCCUUUCUCACUGUCUUUCUUCUGAUUGGAACGGCCUGGUGAGAGCAGGCUGGUGGGAACACACACCUUCCGAAAGGCCCUCACCACAGCAGAUCACUGCUGGCGUCCGAGCUACUUCCUGCUUGUCCUGUUGUGUCCUUCAUCAGUGACCGCACUCUUGGAGUGCUUGCCUCUGGCUCCUGUUUUCCACCCAUUUCUCAGCCUGGUAACUCCUGGUUUCCAGUCUUAGUGGGCCCACUGCUCUGCUCCCACCUCCUGUGAUAGGGUCGGGAGAGCCGCCAACCCCACUUGACUCCUGGACCCCAUCCAGGCUGUGGUAUGUGCCAGCACCAUCUUCCCAAAGGAUGCUGCCCCUCCCUGAGGCUCAUGGUAUAGCUCUUCUCCCAUAUUCAUACCCCCGUCUUGAAGCCUGGCCCACAUAGGGUUUCCAGAAAGCCUUCCCCGAACCACUAAUAGAAACCCUACUAUACUCACACCUUCCUUAAGAGAUACUUCACAAACCCAGUUUUGUGCGGUGCAAAGGGGAUGAAAUCAGAAAUAACAUAGGUUUAAAUCCUGGUUAACUAACUGAUUUUUGAGUCUGUCAAUAAACCUCUCUGUGCCUCAAUUUCCCCAUCUACAAAAACAGGAUUGUGAUACUUACCUCAUAGGAUCAUUGUGAGGAUUAUGAGAAAUAGCACAGGCAAAGCACCUAGGUGCUGCCUGGCAUGUCCCAGCACUCAGUAAAAGCUCCCCCAACACUUUUCUCCCCCUGCUGGGGUUGGGCACCAUGCCUUAUUCAUGCCUUUAUUCCUUGCAGCACCUAGAGUAACAUCUUGUGGCUGGCAGAUGAUCAAUGCCUGUGGAUUGAAUUAAAUUAAAACUUUCCUUGUGUUACACUGUUCUCUCCAUGUCCCCAGUUGUAAUAUCCUCUUAAAAGUAUCAUCGCUUGGCUGGGCACGGUGGCUCAUGCCUGUAAUCCCAGCACUUUGGGAGGCUGAGGCGGGUGGAUUACAAGGUCAGGAGAUCGAGACCAUCCUGGCUAACACGGUGAAACCCCGUCUGUACUAAAAAUACAAAAAAAAAAAAAAAAAUUAGCUGGGCGUGGUGGUGGGCGCCUGUAGUCCCAGCUACUCGGGAGGCUGAGGCAGAAGAAUGGCAUGAACCCGGGAGGGGGAGCUUGCAGUGAGCCGAGAUCGCGCCACUGCACUCCAGCAUGGGCAACAGAGUGAGACUCCGUGUCAAAAACAAACAAAAAAAAGUAUCAUUGCUCAGCUUAUAAGUUCUACUUCAUGUUACUGCAGAUUGUGACCCCCAAAUGAAGUAACUUUUGCUGUUCCUUCUUAUUAAAAAUAAUACAUGCUCAAUAUAUAAAUAAAAAUACAAGCAAAAAGAGUAUUAAAAAGUCUGAUAAUUCUACCCACACAGACAUAGCUAGUAUUAACAUCUCUCCAUUAGCUUUUCAAUGCAAUGCAGCUAUUAUAUCUAUGUGUGUGCAUGUAUACAUGUAUGUAUAAUAUUUUGCUGAGGGAGGAAGGUGGAAAUAGCAUAUUAAGAGAGGGAUGUGGGCUUUAGAAUAGAAAAAAUUCAGCAAGCCUGUGCUCUGUGAGUGUGAAAAUAACCACUGGUGUCUACUUAGAUUCAGUAGGGUGGGAGUCUUGCUGGAAAUGCUUUUUAAAUUUCUAGUGCCAUAAUCUUUCUUUCAUCCAAAGAGGAAAAAAUGAGUCUUUACGUAUUUUUUAAUGUAGCGAUAAUUAUCAUUCAUCAGCAUACUGCACACUCUUUAUUUGGGUGUUUAUUAAGGAUCUAUUUCAUGCCAGACGCUGGAGUUGGCACUAAAAACAAGGAUACGGUUACUGCUCUCAGUGAGUUUUCAGUCUGGUGGGGGACACACAUGAGAAAUAGCACAGGCAAAGCCCCUGGGUGCUGCCUGGCAUGUCCCAGCACUCAAUAAAAGCUCCCCCCAACACUUUUCUC